CUGAGGCGUGAUGACGAGGCACUACGGUGCUGAAGCAACAAAUGCCCUGCUUCCAGGAAAAGCCUCUAAGCAUCAGGUAACAUCAAAUCGUACCCCAAACCGACACAGGUGGUCAGGUAGAGAAUACCAAGGCGCUUGAGAGAACUCGGGUGAAGGAACUAGGCAAAAUGGUGCCGUAACUUCGGGAGAAGGCACGCUGACACGUAGGUGAAGUGAUUUACUCACGGAGCUGAAGUCAGUCGAAGAUACCAGCUGGCUGCAACUGUUUAUUAAAAACACAGCACUGUGCAAACACGAAAGUGGACGUAUACGGUGUGACGCCUGCCCGGUGCCGGAAGGUUAAUUGAUGGGGUCAGCGCAAGCGAAGCUCCUGAUCGAAGCCCCGGUAAACGGCGGCCGUAACUAUAACGGUCCUAAGGUAGCGAAAUUCCUUGUCGGGUAAGUUCCGACCUGCACGAAUGGCGUAAUGAUGGCCAGGCUGUCUCCACCCGAGACUCAGUGAAAUUGAACUCGCUGUGAAGAUGCAGUGUACCCGCGGCAAGACGGAAAGACCCCGUGAACCUUUACUAUAGCUUGACACUGAACAUUGAGCCUUGAUGUGUAGGAUAGGUGGGAGGCUUUGAAGCGUGGACGCCAGUCUGCAUGGAGCCGACCUUGAAAUACCACCCUUUAAUGUUUGAUGUUCUAACGUGGACCCGUAAUCCGGGUUGCGGACAGUGUCUGGUGGGUAGUUUGACUGGGGCGGUCUCCUCCUAAAGAGUAACGGAGGAGCACGAAGGUUGGCUAAUCCUGGUCGGACAUCAGGAGGUUAGUGCAAUGGCAUAAGCCAGCUUGACUGCGAGCGUGACGGCGCGAGCAGGUGCGAAAGCAGGUCAUAGUGAUCCGGUGGUUCUGAAUGGAAGGGCCAUCGCUCAACGGAUAAAAGGUACUCCGGGGAUAACAGGCUGAUACCGCCCAAGAGUUCAUAUCGACGGCGGUGUUUGGCACCUCGAUGUCGGCUCAUCACAUCCUGGGGCUGAAGUAGGUCCCAAGGGUAUGGCUGUUCGCCAUUUAAAGUGGUACGCGAGCUGGGUUUAGAACGUCGUGAGACAGUUCGGUCCCUAUCUGCCGUGGGCGCUGGAGAACUGAGGGGGGCUGCUCCUAGUACGAGAGGACCGGAGUGGACGCAUCACUGGUGUUCGGGUUGUCAUGCCAAUGGCACUGCCCGGUAGCUAAAUGCGGAAGAGAUAAGUGCUGAAAGCAUCUAAGCACGAAACUUGCCCCGAGAUGAGUUCUCCCUGAGACUUAGAGUCUCCUGAAGGAACGUUGAAGACGACGACGUUGAUAGGCCGGGUGUGUAAGCGCAGCGAUGCGUUGAGCUAACCGGUACUAAUGAACCGUGAGGCUUAACCUUACAACGCCGAAG
rnacentral:rRNA from 1 species